rnacentral:tRNA from 1 species
GGUUCCAUAGUGUAGCGGUUAGCACAUCUGAUUUACACACAGAAGGUCCUGGGUUCACUCCCCUGUGGAGCCA